UACGUAGGGUGCGAGCGUUAAUCGGAAUUACUGGGCGUAAAGCGUGCGCAGGCGGUUCUGAAAGUCAGCUGUGAAAGCCCCGGGCUUAACCUGGGAAUUGCGGUUGAAACUACAGGGCUAGAAUCUGGCAGAGGGGGGUGGAAUUCCACGUGUAGCAGUGAAAUGCGUAGAGAUGUGGAGGAACACCGAUGGCGAAGGCAGCCCCCUGGGCUGAGAUUGACGCUCAGGCACGAAAGCGUGGGGAGCGAACAGG
rnacentral:rRNA from 1 species